rnacentral:rRNA from 1 species
GACGAACGCUGGCGGCGUGCUUAACACAUGCAAGUCGAACGGAAAGGCCCCUUUGGGGGUACUCGAGUGGCGAACGGGUGAGUAACACGUGAGUAACCUGCCCUUGACUUCGGGAUAACUUCAGGAAACUGGGGCUAAUACCGGAUAGGAAUCCUUGCUGCAUGGUGGGGGUUGGAAAGCUUCGGCGGUUUUGGAUGGACUCGCGGCUUAUCAGCUUGUUGGUGGGGUAGUGGCUUACCAAGGCUUUGACGGGUAGCCGGCCUGGGAGGGCGACCGGCCACAUUGGGACUGAGAUACGGCCCAGACUCCGACGGGAGGCAGCAGUGGGGAAUAUUGCACAAUGGGCGGAAGCCUGAUGCAGCAACGCCGCGGGCGGGAUGACGGCCUUCGGGUUGUAAACCGCUUUCAGCAGGGGCGAAGCUUGUGGUGACGGUACCUGCAGAAGAAGCACCGGCUAACUACGUG